UACGUAGGUGGCAAGCGUUGUCCGGAUUUACUGGGCGUAAAGAGCGCGCAGGCGGUCUUUUUAAGUCGAAUGUGAAAGCCCCCCGGCUCAACUGGGGAGGGUCAUUCGAUACUGAUCGACUUGAAGGCAGGAGAGGGUAGUGGAAUUCCCCGGUGUAGUGGUGAAAUGCGUAGAUAUCGGGAGGAACACCAGUGGCGAAGGCGACUACCUGGCCUGUUCUUGACGCUGAGGCGCGAAAGCUGGGGGAGCAAACGGG
rnacentral:rRNA from 1 species